UGCGUAGGCUGAAUAGUCAGUCAGUGGUGAAAUCCUACAGCUUAACUGUAGAACUGCCAUUGAUACUGCUAUUCUUGAGUUCAGUUGAGGUAGGCGGAAUGUGUAGUGUAGCGGUGAAAUGCUUAGAUAUUACACAGAACACCGAUUGCGAAGGCAGCUUACUAAACUGACACUGACACUGAGGCACGAAAGCGUGGGGAGCGAACAGGAUUAGAUACCCUGGUAGUCC
rnacentral:rRNA from 1 species